ACUCAAAGGAAUUGACGGGGGCCCGCACAAGCAGUGGAGCAUGUGGUUUAAUUCGAUGCAACGCGAAGAACCUUACCCGGGUUUGACAUACAGAGGACGUUAUCAGAGAUGAUAAUUCCCGCAAGGGUCUUUGUACAGGUGCUGCAUGGCUGUCGUCAGCUCGUGCCGUGAGGUGUUGGGUUAAGUCCCGCAACGAGCGCAACCCUUAUCAUUAGUUGCCAACAUUUUAGGUGGGGACUCUAGUGAGACUGCCUGGGUUAACCAGGAGGAAGGUGAGGAUGACGUCAAGUCCGCAUGGCCUUUAUAUCCGGGGCUACACACGUGCUACAAUGGUCGGUACAGAAGGCAGCGAAACCGCGAGGUGGAGCAAAUCCCAAAAGCCGAUCCCAGUUCAGAUUGUAGUCUGCAACUCGACUACAUGAAGUUGGAAUUGCUAGUAAUGGCGUGUCAGCAACAACGCCGUGAAUACGUUCCCGGGCCUUGUACACACCGCCCGU
rnacentral:rRNA from 1 species